UCGGUAAUUUUGGGCAAUGGGCGAAAGCCUGACCCAGCAACGCCGCGUGAAGGAUGAAGUAUUUCGGUAUGUAAACUUCGAAAGAAUGGGAAGAAUAAAUGACGGUACCAUUUAUAAGGUCCGGCUAACUACGUGCCAGCAGCCGCGGUAAUACGUAGGGACCAAGCGUUGUUCGGAUUUACUGGGCGUAAAGGGCGCGUAGGCGGCUUUGUAAGUCACUUGUGAAAUCUCCGGGCUUAACUCGGAACGGCCAAGUGAUACUGCAAAGCUAGAGUGCAGAAGGGGCAAUCGGAAUUCUUGGUGUAGCGGUGAAAUGCGUAGAUAUCAAGAGGAACACCUGAGGUGAAGACGGGUUGCUGGGCUGACACUGACGCUGAGGCGCGAAAGCCAGGGGAGCAAACG
rnacentral:rRNA from 1 species